rnacentral:rRNA from 1 species
UUAACACAUGCAAGUCGAACGGAAAGGCCCUGCUUUUGUGGGGUGCUCGAGUGGCGAACGGGUGAGUAACACGUGAGUAACCUGCCCUUGACUUUGGGAUAACUUCAGGAAACUGGGGCUAAUACCGGAUAGGAGCUCCUGCUGCAUGGUGGGGGUUGGAAAGUUUCGGCGGUUGGGGAUGGACUCGCGGCUUAUCAGCUUGUUGGUGGGGUAGUGGCUUACCAAGGCUUUGACGGGUAGCCGGCCUGAGAGGGUGACCGGCCACAUUGGGACUGAGAUACGGCCCAGACUCCUACGGGAGGCAGCAGUGGGGAAUAUUGCACAAUGGGCGGAAGCCUGAUGCAGCAACGCCGCGUGCGGGAUGACGGCCUUCGGGUUGUAAACCGCUUUCGCCUGUGACGAAGCGUGAGUGACGGUAAUGGGUAAAGAAGCACCGGCUAACUACGUGCCAGCAGCCGCGGUGAUACGUAGGGUGCGAGCGUUGUCCGGAUUUAUUGGGCGUAAAGGGCUCGUAGGUGGUUGAUCGCGUCGGAGGUGUAAUCUUGGGGCUUAACCCUGAGCGUGCUUUCGAUACGGGUUGACUUGAGGAAGGUAGGGGAGAAUGGAAUUCCUGGUGGAGCGGUGGAAUGCGCAGAUAUCACGAGGAACACCAGUGGCGAAGGCGGUUCUCUGGGCCUUUCCUGACGCUGAGGAGCGAAAGCGUGGGGAGCGAACAGGCUUAGAUACCCUGGUAGUCCACGCUGUAAACGGUGGGUACUAGGUGUGGGGUCCAUUCCACGGGUUCCGUGCCGUAGCUAACGCUUUAAGUACCCCGCCUGGGGAGUACGGCCGCAAGGCUAAAACUCAAAGGAAUUGACGGGGCCCCGCACAAGCGGCGGAGCAUGCGGAUUAAUUCGAUGCAACGCGUAGAACCUUACCUGGGUUUGACAUGGAUCGGGAGUGCUCAGAGAUGGGUGUGCCUCUUUUGGGGUCGGUUCACAGGUGGUGCAUGGCUGUCGUCAGCUCGUGUCGUAAGAUGUUGGGUUAAGUCCCGCAACGAGCGCAACCCUUGUUCACUGUUGCCAGCACGUUAUGGUGGGGACUCAGUGGAGACCGCCGGGGUCAACUCGGAGGAAGGUGGGGAUGACGUCAAGUCAUCAUGCCCCUUAUGUCCAGGGCUUCACGCAUGCUACAAUGGCUGGUACAGAGAGUGGCGAGCCUGUGAGGGUGAGCGAAUCUCGGAAAGCCGGUCUCAGUUCGGAUUGGGGUCUGCAACUCGACCUCAUGAAGUCGGAGUCGCUAGUAAUCGCAGAUCAGCAACGCUGCGGUGAAUACGUUCCCGGGGCUUGUACACACCGCCCGUCAAGUCAUGAAAGUUGGUAACACCCGAAGCCGGUGGCCUAACCGUUGUGGGGGAGCCGUCGAAGGUGGGACUGGUGAUUAGGACUAAGA